rnacentral:misc_RNA from 1 species
AAGUCGUAACAAGGUUUCCGUAGGUGAACCUGCGGAAGGAUCAUUAACGAGUCUUUGAAGGGUUGUAGCUGGCCUUUACCGGCACGUGCACGCCCGCUCAAUCCACUCUACACCUGUGAACUAUUGUAGGUCGGUCGUCGGCUCGGCGGCGACGCCGGGUCAGCGCCUUCCUACGUUACACUACAAACCAAUACAGUAUCUGAAUGUCAUCGCGGUAAAACGCAUCUUAUACAACUUUCAGCAACGGAUCUCUUGGCUCUC